GCCGGGCGUCGUGGUGGGCGCCUGUAGUCCCAGCUACUUGGGAGGCUGAGGCAGGAGACUCGCUUGAGCCCAGGAGUUGGAGGUUGCUGUGAGCGUGAUGCCAUGGCACUCUACCCAGGGGAAUAGCUUGAGGCUCCAUCUCAAAAAAAAAAAAAAAAAAAAAAAGAAAGUAUUGUGAAGUAAAUGACAAGAGGAAGUGUCUUGUCUUUUUUUUUUUUCUUUUUCUUUUUUGAGACAGAGCCUCAAGCUGUCCCCCUGGGUAGAGUGCCGUGGCAUUACAGCUCACAGCAACCUCCAACUCCUGGGCUCAAGCGAGUCUCCUGCCUCCG
rnacentral:SRP_RNA from 1 species